UUAAAGAGGGCCGGAGCCCACUAUGACACCCCAAUUAACCACACCGUCUGUUUCCCUUUUGUGACAAAGAAGAGACGUGGACAGCAGAUAAAAGGAUGCGUGUGGUGCCUCGAGGGUGUACAAAGAACAGACCCAGGAGAGCGAGGGGUCUUCCUAGGAGAGGUGACAUUUGAGAUGAGCCCCCAAAGGCUCGAAGAUGCUGAGAGGAGGUCUGGGAGAGACAAAGAUGUUGGCUUGCUCCUUAAAUACUAUAGUUCUCCUCAUGAUUGCAAGACGGCUGCUGAAGAUCCAGAUAUCACAUCCAGACACGAUAAGUCUGGAGG